GCUGGGUGUGGUGGCGCAUGCCUGUAAUCCCAACUACUCAGGAGGCUGAGGCAGGAGAAUCGCUUGAACCUGGGAGGUGGAGGUUGCAGUGAGCCGAGAUUGCGCCACUGUACUCCAGCCUGGGUGACAGAGCGAGACUCUGUCUCAA
rnacentral:sRNA from 1 species